rnacentral:rRNA from 1 species
AGCGGCAAACGGGGUAGUAACGGGUAGGCAACGUACCCUCGGGACGGGGAUAGCCACGGGAAACUGUGGGUAAUACCCGAUAAUCUCCUCUUUCUUUAUGAGAGGGGAGCAAAGGUGAGAUUCCACCUGAGGAGCGGCCUGCUUCGUAUUAGCUAGUUGGUGAGGUAACGGCUCACCAAGGCUUCGAUGCGUAGGGGGUGUGAGAGCAUGACCCCCACCACUGGGACUGAGAUACUGCCCAGACACCUACGGGUGGCUGCAGUCGAGAAUCUUCGGCAAUGGGCGAAAGCCUGACCGAGCGACGCCGCGUGUGGGAUGAAGGCCCUUGGGUUGUAAACCACUGUCAGAGGGGAUGAAGUGUCUCGAGGUCAUCCUCGGGAUUUGACAUAGCCUCAGAGGAAGCACGGGCUAAGUUCGUGCCAGCAGCCGCGGUAAUACGAACUGUGCAAACGUUAUUCGGAAUCACUGGGCUUACAGGGUGCGUAGGCGGCUUGUUAAGCAGGGUGUGAAAUCCCUCGGCUCAACCGAGGAAUUGCGCCCUGAACUGGCGAGCUGGAGUGGGACAGAGGUGCGCGGAACUUCCAGUGGAGCGGUGAAAUGUGUUGAUAUUGGAAGGAACGCCGGAGGCGAAAGCGGCGCACUGGGUCUCAACUGACGCUGAGGCACGAAAGCCAGGGGAGCAAACGGGAUUAGAUACCCC